ACGCUCGACACCUACGGGGGGCAGCAGUGGGGAAUAUUGCACAAUGGGGGAAACCCUGAUGCAGCGACGCCGCGUGAGCGAAGAAGUAUUUCGGUAUGUAAAGCUCUAUCAGCAGGGAAGAAACUGACGGUACCUGACUAAGAAGCACCGGCUAAAUACGUGCCAGCAGCCGACGGUAAUCGUGAGGCGGGCGUGGACGAAGGC
rnacentral:rRNA from 1 species